UGGGGAAUUUUGGACAAUGGGGGAAACCCUGAUCCAGCCAUCCCGCGUGUGCGAUGAAGGCCUUCGGGUUGUAAAGCACUUUUGGCAGGAAAGAAACGUCAUGGGUUAAUACCCCGUGAAACUGACGGUACCUGCAGAAUAAGCACCGGCUAACUACGUGCCAGCAGCCGCGGUAAUACGUAGGGUGCAAGCGUUAAUCGGAAUUACUGGGCGUAAAGCGUGCGCAGGCGGUUCGGAAAGAAAGAUGUGAAAUCCCAGAGCUCAACUUUGGAACUGCAUUUUUAACUACCGAGCUAGAGUGUGUCAUAGGGAGGUGGAAUUCCGCGUGUAGCAGUGAAAUGCGUAGAUAUGCGGAGGAACACCGAUGGCGAAGGCAGCCUCCUGGGAUAACACUGACGCUCAUGCACGAAAGCGUGGGGAGCAAACAGG
rnacentral:rRNA from 1 species